CUUACGUAGGUGUUAGAACCAUAUUUUAAACAAACCUACCAAGUCUUAGAAAUCUACUGUACCUACCCUGUAUUAAACAACAUAAGCCUAUAAAAAGUACCAAUGUCGUCAGAACGAGGAAGCCGGGAAGUUGUUGUCAAGUGGCUAAUUAAAUAGUCAGCCGCCGUCGUCCGUUGUGCUCGCCUCUUCCAUCACUCCCUUCCUCUUCUUCGUCGUUUGUAGUCGUCUGUGGGGUGUGGGCAGCACCGCCGGACCUCCCGGGAGUGAUACCUCCCGCGCCUUCAACCGUUGCGGCCGCCGGUCGCCAACCGUCGUCGCUCUUCGCUCACUUUCUGGACCAACUAAACCCUUUCCCUCCUCUUGUCUCCUGACCAGCUAAAUCCCUAUCUUCUUGUCUAUUCCAAACCAUCUAAACCCCCCUUUCCUCCUCUCUGCUCGCACGCACCGUCGUCCAUCAGCCACAUAACCUGAGUCUAUAUAAACCCGACCCGGUUUACGAAUAACAUUUGAAUUAAUAG
rnacentral:rRNA from 1 species